GAUCGAAAAGACACUAGCGUGGCUAGCGCGGGAGGCUGCAUGGGCUACGCUCGAUCCUCAUGCGCGUUCGACUAAAAUCGCAACAGGCUAAUCAGGAUUGAUCGACCCCGAAGCGAUCGACCGGAGGCUGCCAGUAACGAAUCUUGCAAUGCGCGAAAGCUUUGACNNGGCAAUGCCGCGUGCAGGAUUGAAGCCCGGGGUGUAAACUGCUGUCAAGGUCUGNNNNAGGUUUAGGAACUCAAUGGACCGGACCUAAAGGAGNCCGGCUAACUCGUGCCAGCAGCNCGGUAAUACAAUGGGCCCGAGCGUUAGGAAUCACUGGGUUAAAGCGUGCGUAGGCGGGCGGGCAAGCAUCUUGUGAAAGGCCCCGGCAACCGGGGAAUUGCUUGGGAACUGCAGGUCUUGAGGCAGGUAGAGGUGGCGGAACGAUAGGGACGGUGAUAUGCUUAAUAUCUAUCGGAACCCCAAAGGAAAGUCAGGCCCUGGGCCUGUUCUGACCUGAGGCACGAAAGCGUGGGUAGCGAACGGGAUUAGAAACCCGGUAGUCCACGCCGUUAAACGAUGCCCACUAGGUCGGGGAGGUUUGACCCUUUCCCGGCCGAGCAAAAGUGAUAAGUGCGCCGCCUGGGAGUACGGGCAAGGCUAAAACUCAAAGGACUUAUUGACGGGGGCUCACACAAGCGGGGAGCAUGUGGCUUAAUUCGAAGCACGCGAAGAACCUUAUCCAGGUUUGACACCACCGAUCACCCAUGAAGUGGGCCCUGCCCGCAGGCGGACGUCCAGGUGCCGCAUGGCUGUCCCCAGCUCGUGCUGUGAGUGGUAGUCUCAACGAGCGAAACCCCUGUCGCUAGUUCGA
rnacentral:rRNA from 1 species